rnacentral:rRNA from 1 species
UACGGAGGGAGCUAGCGUUGUUCGGAAUUACUGGGCGUAAAGCGCGCGUAGGCGGCUUUGUAAGUUAGAGGUGAAAGCCCGGGGCUCAACCCCGGAAUUGCCUUUAAGACUGCAUCGCUUGAAUCCGGGAGAGGUGAGUGGAAUUCCGAGUGUAGAGGUGAAAUUCGUAGAUAUUCGGAAGAACACCCGUGGCGAAGGCGGCUCUCGUGGGACGGUACUGGACGCUGAGACGCGAAAGCGUGGGGAGCGAACAGG